AUGGUGGAGCCCGCAGGAGCGACGCCUCUCCUCCCUGGCCUCCCGGAUGAGAUCUCCGUCUGGGAGAUCCUCCUCCGCCUGCCCCCCAAAUGCAUGCUCCGCUGCCGCGCCGUCUGCCCGGCGUGGCGCCGCGUCACCUCCGCCCGCGGCUUCCUCCUCGCCCACCACGCCCGCCAGCCCGUCCUUCCACUCCUCUACGGCUACAACUUCGUCGGCGACGACAUCGAGUCCCUCAGCAUCGUCCCUUUCGACCACCGGGCAGGGGUCGCCACCGCCGACCAGCUCCAUGCCAUCGCUCGCCUUGCACACGACUCCUCCCGUCUAGAUGCCUGCUUCAUUCUCGUGGCAUGCUGCGACGGCCUCCUCGUCCUCUCCGCCCACCACCCGCUCAAGUUCUUCAUCUGCAACCCGGCAACUCGGCAGUUUGCACCCCUCCCGCAGCUUGAUGACUUCAUCCUCCUGGGGAUGUACCCUCACCCCCCUACUGGCCAGUACCGACUACUGCUAUACCUGCUCCCCACGGAUCUGGCACCGGAAGCUCAGGAUGGCUCCUACGUCUUCACAUUGGGCUCCGGCCAGCCGCCGAGGCACAUAGCGUGCCCUGAGGCCAAGGAACUGAGACACUCCCCCGAGUCUAUCCUGUUUCGUGGUUGUCUGCAUUGGUGCAUAGGCAAUCUGAUGAUGGCAUUUGACACCAUCGCUGAGUCAUUCCGGCAGGUGCGCUCUCCGGUUGGUCCUGGCUACUCUCACCUGAUUGAGAUGGGUAACAUGCUUGGCAUCUCCAGUCUUAGUGACACAGCAACAAGUGUUGAUAUCUGGGUUAUGCCGGACUAUGAAGGCGAGGUCUGGACCUUCAAAUACCGGGUUGAGCUGCCGGUCACAGAGAUCAAGGAGCAAUUUGGAAAGUCUGUUGAUUAUUGGUAUGUGGUGGCCAUGCCUUGGGAUGAUGAUGUGCUCCUACUGGUCAAAUUUGAUGACUGUCUGCUUCAGGUUGACAUUCAUGGCAAAUUGUUUGCCAGUUUCCAUUGCAGAGGCCUUGGUCCUACAAAUCUUCGGAUCAAGCAAACUCUUGUUCAACAUGCCUUCUUUCCGACACUAGAGGGUUAUGUUGUGAACUCUUCGCGUUUCGUCUGA
rnacentral:rRNA from 1 species